GCAUAUCAAUAAGCGGAGGAAAAGAAAACAACUGUGAUUCCCCUAGUAAUGGCGAAUGAAACGGGAUUAGCCCAUCGCUGACUGCAGGUCGUCCUGGCCUUGUGGAAUGUAGCGUUUGGAAGGGUCUCUUCCAAGGUUCAGAUGCCUGUCAAAGUCCAACUUGACAGUGGCCACAGCCCAUAGAGGGUGAUAGGCCCGUAAGGCGGUUAUCUGACUUUGCUGACCCCUUCCCAGAGUCGGGUUGCUUGGUAGUGCAGCCCAAAGUGCGAGGUAAACUCCUCGUAAGGCUAAAUAUGACCCCAAGACCGAUAGCAAACAAGUACAGUGAUGGAAAUUUGAAAAGAACUUUGAAGAGAGAGUUAAGAGUACGUGAAACUGUAUGGCAGUAAACGCAGCCUUCCUCGAAGUUUCCCUGGUGAACCCAGCCUUGGGUUUGGCCAGCUCCUGUACUCGGAUCAGCAAUGACUGAGUGCGGGAUGUCUGUCUAAUCCACGGGUGCAACUUUACCAGGUGUUACGGUGGGAACUGUUGGGACCGGACCAAAGGCUCGGGAUGAAGUUCUCUCUUCGGAGUUAGCUCCUGAUGUCCUGGCUUCGGAUCCGACAGGCAUGUGACCAACUUGUACAGCAAGCAACCCUUCUGUUGCGGUUGGUCGUUCCCCACCGAGUAGGUCGGUGGAGGCUGUGACCCGUCUUGAAACACGGACC
rnacentral:rRNA from 1 species